rnacentral:lncRNA from 1 species
UUGAAAGUGUUAGCAUUAAUUUUAAAACAGUGAUGCUUUAAAACUUCAAUUUAGCCCACGGGCUUUCUGGGCAGUCCAAUAUUUUAUGGGCCUUGCCUGGGAGUCCGUUCUUAAAUUUACACACGUGAGGUUUAGUCUUACAUUAGAAACCAAAAGUUUGCUGUUGCUCUUUAUAUACCCCUUCAUUCUCAAAUUAGUUAAAUUAGUUUUAUUUAAAAUUAUUUUAAAAAAAAUUUACUAAACAUAUAGAAAUAUUUUUUCCAACAAAAAGUGUUUUUGAUAUGUUUAUAAUUGAAUACUAUGUUUGGCUUCAAAUAAUUUUCAGAUUAAACAAAAUCAUAUCCCCUACUAAAUCAUAAAUAUUAAUAUCUUUCGAGGAAUAAAUAUCAAAAUUUCUUUCUUACCAUCAUCAAAAUAUGCCCUUAUUUCUCAAUUUGGCAACUUAAUUAUUCAACGAGUGAGAAGUAAAGACGCAGAUUACAAGUCAUUCAUCUACCCUAUCGUCUCAGCAUUUUUGAUAUAUCACCUUUUGCAGUCGUACGCAUCUCCAUCCAUAUAUAUAUAUAUAUAUAUAUAUAUAUAUAUAUAUAGAGAGAGAGAGAGAGAGAGCAAGAUUGCUGUGCUCUCAGGAGCACGGAGGCCUCCGUGCUCCUGAGCCGUUUUCAAUGAUUGAAUUUUCGAAUCGACGAUCGGCUCCGUUAGACUUGAUCUAGCGUAUUUGAAGUUUUUAGAAAAUAAUUUUUGCGAUUUUUUGACUCCGUUAGACUUGAUCUAGCGUAUUUGAAGUUUUUAGAAAAUUAUUUUUGCGAUUUUUUUGAUAUCAUUUACCUAGUGAUAGAAAUGAUUCAAAAUCAAUAAUUUUUAAUGGUUGAUAUCUGCCAUUUUAAAGUUUAACGGUGUAAAAGUAUUCAAAUCAGAUGAAAUUUUGAUACAAAAUUCUUUAUACUAUCUACAACAAGAUCAAUAUUUCUGAUCGAAAAUUUUAGUGCUAUAUCACCACUUUUUAUAGGAUUUUUAUUUUCAGCCGUUAAAAAUUAUUGAUUUUGAAUCCUUUCGAUUGCUAGGUAAAUGAUAUCGAAAAAUUGCAAAAAUUAUUAUCUAGAAACUUCAAAUAUGCUAUGUCAAGUUUAACGGAGCCGAUCAUCAAUUCUGAAACUCCAUCAUCGAAAACGGCUCAGGAGCACGGAGGCCUCCGUUCUCUUGAGAGCACAGCAGUCAUGCUAUAUAUAUAUAUAUAUAUAUAUAUAUAUAUAUAAAAGUAUAUAAUUGAACAGAUCAUUAUCAUAAAAAUAAAUAUAUAUAAGAUA